rnacentral:rRNA from 1 species
UACGAAGGGGGCUAGCGUUGCUCGGAAUCACUGGGCGUAAAGGGUGCGUAGGCGGGUCUUUAAGUCAGGGGUGAAAUCCUGGAGCUCAACUCCAGAACUGCCUUUGAUACUGAGGAUCUCGAGUCCGGGAGAGGUGAGUGGAACUGCGAGUGUAGAGGUGAAAUUCGUAGAUAUUCGCAAGAACACCAGUGGCGAAGGCGGCUCACUGGCCCGGUACUGACGCUGAGGUGCGAAAGCGUGGGGAGCAAACAGG